CUCCCGAUAGGUAGGCACACCGCACAAGUCGCCCCCACCUACCUUCGUUCUAUCGUGUGAUCCCUGAUCCAGAUUCCUCCUGUUCGUCUCCGUCCUCGCCGCCUCAACUACGCCCCGUGAUCUCGAUGUUGAGGACUUCCCCAUCUCUCCAGCACCUCCCUCCACUCCCACCCAGACCAAUCUAGGAUACGCCCCCAAACGCCAACCCUGCGGCAUCGACGGAGCGUGACAAUGUCGACCGCCCGGCGAGGCGGCGACUUGCCGGACUAGAUGGUGCGGACCCUUCUGGAGCAGGAGAGUCUUCAUCGGAGGCAAGACCACCUGCAGCUCCUUCAUCUCCAUCCUCGUAGCCGCCGUCAGCUUGUUCGUGCUUGUCCAUCGAUUCUGCCAGUACCACAUCCUCGCCAAGGACUUCUCCAACCUCAAUGCCAUGGCAAACACUCAUGCUGGCUAUUAAAAUGGAGACUUUCAAUUUUGGGUGUUUUCGUAGGUAUGUGGUACUACUUUGUGAUAUGUGGCUGGUUGAUGAACCCUGUAUAUUCCCAAUCCUUUGAACAGAGAUUCUACUUGCGUUGGUUAGAUGCUGGAUUUCAUCUUAUACCUUCCUUGGAAGGUGACAACAAAAGAUAAGGUCUGCGACUGGAAAAUAAGUAUGCUGUUUGGGCAUUUUCAUUUUAAUAUGUUCUGCUGAUGACCGACUUUGUGUGAAGAUUAAGGUGUCUACCUUGUAGAAAAAAAUACCAAUCAUCUAGCAAUUUCCUUUAAGUAUUAUAGUAUUCCUGAUCCACCGUUGUGGUUGUUGGCUUGCGCCGUUGUGUAUGUACACGCUAAUGACCGGCUGGCCGCAGCUAAUUACUCAUUAUCCAAUAUGUUAAUGAACUAGGACGAAAUUAGAUAAUCCCAAAGCCAGCAGGAAAUAGCCCAUGUACGAUCGUGGCUGGCUUAUUUUGAUCGAUGAAUCGAUCAGAUCAUGACAUGUGUAUAUGCAUGUUCAGCACUUUCACCGGCUGGAUAUAGUAACUUCAGUUCAGAUUUGAUUGUGGCUGUCAUCCUAGAGUGUAAUAGCAGCAGCUGCUAGCAGCCUAACGCUGGAGCACUUGGUGUAGCGCCGCAGCAUUGGUCUUCACAAUAGUGUGUUUGCUGCGCACCGUCUUCCACGACGCGUUGAUCUUCAGAGUCUUUGAACCUGGCGUCACAACUCAUGACAAAAAUUUCUUACAUAUUCAUCUUUGGGAGUAGGGGUGCAGAGCGGCGUGCCGUGAAGUCCCAGAAAAGUGCCCAGCUAGUGCAAAAUACUCUAACGCACUCUGAUCAAGCUAAAACAGAAUUUUCUCAUUUUGAACUAGAAGUGGGGCGGAUCGGGCACCGCCCUGCAUCCCUAUUUGGGAGAAAGUUCAGGGCAUAUAUAGCGGGCUACUUCUGUAGAAGGAGGUACAACAUGAAUAAUGUUGGAUUGUAAAGCUGUAGGUGAUUUAAGUGACAUCAUCUGCAGUGUAAUUCAAAAAAUCAUGUUGAAAAAGAUUUUGUAUUCACUCAGAUUACUAUUGUUGUCAAUCAUAUAUAUAUAUAUAUUUAAAUGAAAAUCACUAGAAAACACACUUGUUAACAUUUAAUACAGCCACCUGAUUUAGCUUUGUGUGAAUUAUUUUCUAUCAACUUCAAGUAUUUCUGGACAUUUUAAAUCUCUGCAUUUAUAUAUGCACUAUUUUGGUAACUUCAAAUCUGUGUUUGCAAUGAAGCAUGCUCUAUUUGUCGGCGGACAUAUUUUUUGGGCAUUUACCUCCUUCAUUAUAUUCUUUGUAAGGUGUUUAUUAACUAAUUAACAUAUGAAUGGUCUAUUCAUAAGGCUCUCUUUUCUCUGUCUAUAGAGUUGAGUGCUAUGGCUGGGACUGUAAAGAAGUGUUCAAAUUAUGAUAGAUCAAAUCCCUUCACAGGUGAUGACGUAUGUUGGAUGAUGGAAUGAUUAUUCUGUUCUGGUGCUUGCUUUGACUUGGGUGUUCAGAGAAGUAAAACUUUGAACUAACGUCUUUAGUGAAGCAACAUAUUGUAUCUGAAGUGAAACUUUCUCUUUGAUACGGAGAUGCGAGCAUCAAACUAACAUCCAUCUAAAUAAGGUAUGCUCAUUUAUCUACUGUUUGGAAAUCAACAUGCAUGGUUGAGCAACAAUUUAUUAUUGAUCAUUCAUUUUGCAAUAUGAAUGCUCAUUGUAGUUCCUGCUUAGCUUGGGAAAUCUAAACAAGAAUGUUUCUCUUGCUACACUCCAAAGUACACUGACCUAGAAUAUAAAACAAAAAUUGAGGGUGUUGAACUUGGUAAUUGAUUCUUGGUCGAUACAACCACUAAAACAAACCUAUUCUACAUAUAGCAAGAUGAACUAUCACAUAGCCUUCAAGCUUCAUAUGUUGCUCUUUGUUUGAAUUUUACUGCCCUAUUACCUUGAUUUUAUUUUUUGGCACC